ensembl:lncRNA MARCHF6-DT MARCHF6 divergent transcript
GGCCCAGAGGCCCAGCGGGUGGACAAACGGCCCAGGCGUCCGCCCCGCCGCGAUCCAGCAGCCCACCUCGAGCGCCGCGGACCUGGCCGGGGAACUCAACUGUUAGGCAGAAGGGAGGAAUGUACUGUUGAUAUGGACAGACUCCAAGAAGGGGAGGGACUGCUGGGACUACUAGAACGAGAAUGCCUCUGCCCCUAUGGCUCAGCUCUGCAACUCUCUCUGCACAUUGGCUUCAUGCUGUUAGACCAGCUUCCUCCAUAUGUCUGGAAACAAGGCCACUGACAGCUCCCAACAUUUCAUCUUCUGCCUCAUCAUCAGACAGGCGAGUGCAGUGGCAUAAUCUCGGCUCACUGCAACCUUUGCCUCCUGGGUUCAAGCAAAAACUGGAAUGAUGCAGCUUCAGGCCAAGGAAUGCUGGCAGCCACCAGAAGCUGAAGGACACAAGGAAUGGAUUCUCAGAGCCUCGGCAGGAAAUGUGGCCCUGCCAACACCUUGAUUUCAGACUUCUCAACUCCAGUACUGGGAGGGAAUAAAUUUCUGUUGUUUUAAGCCUC